CAAAGAGCGAGAGCGAGUGUAACUAUUCGCUCAUUUGCAAAAAAAUAAAGCAAAGGAAAAAAAAAAACGAAAACGAACGGAGACGAGAAACGAGCUAAACAAUAAAUAUUUUUGUGCGCAACUUCCGCGCGCGUUCGCUUAUUUAAAAACAACAGCGAAAUCUAACUACAACUACACACGACACCAACUACAACUACAAACGUAAGCUGCGUUACCAGCGGCGUUGCAGCUUCUUCUUCUUCUUCUUUCGCUGCUGCCUUCGAUUCCACCGAACUUCCAAUCCAAAACGGAAAGCAGCUGCUGCUUGCCGAGAGAGUAUGGGAGAGAGGGGCGAGGGAAGGAAAGAGAAACUGAGCGAGCGAGAGAGAGAGAGAGAACAGCCGGCGUCUUUGUCAAUUCGCGAGCAACGACGUCGGCAGAGGGCGCCAUUGCCACAACACCACAAGCACACACACAUGAUUAAACACGGAAACAACAAGGCAAUAGCGCUGCCCACCCACUAUAGGAAUCAUAAACAAAUUAAGCUUAAAACAAGAUAAAUAGCUAGACUUGAAAGGUUUUUAUAUUAUUUGGUUGUUAAUAAAUACAUUAUAUUUGGAUAUUGGGCAGUAUCUUUGGUAAAUGUUCAGAACAGCGGCUUUUUUACAACUGAGUUCCGAUAGCCAAUUAAAACAAUUAAAAAAUUUUUCAAAUAUUUUGUAAAGCUAUAAACUAGCUAAGUUAUCAACUCGAUAAAUAAUUUGUAAUAUAAGGAUAAAAAAAGUAGUGCAAUACGUUCCAAUGGGCAGUUAAUCGGUUUAGAGAAUAACACAAAACACAGACUAUUUACAUUUUAGGGGGUACAAUAUACUGGGGAAUAUUUAACAUGAACUCUGAUAUGAAUGUGUGCUUUGUUAGAUUUCCAGAUCAUAAAUAUUUGAGAAUUUUGAUAAUCUUAAGUGAAUACACAAAUUUUGCUGUGCAAACACAACUGAUUUGUGUCCCUAAGUCCCUAACUUUAAAAAUCCUUAAAGGAAUUUAAUCUUAUUAGUGUAGAAUAAUGAUGUACAUUUUUUGAGUUUUUAAAGUUGAAAAAAAAAUUUUCAAUCUUUAAUAUAUUCGGAAUAACAUGUGUAAAUUUCCUUCAUUCCCUACUCCCCCUUCUUCGCUUUUAUUCUUGUUCUCUUUCUAGACAACAGCUGUCGCAUGUUUGCCGAUUAGUCCUGAUGCAUAAAGAGAAAAAAAGAGGUGAGGCACUAUAGAGGAAACAGAAGCAUAAAGAAAACUGCGGAACAAAAAGUGUUGCCGAACAUGGCCAAAGCGUGAAAAUUGUAACGGCCAGCGAAA